GAUGAAGAACGCAGCGAAAUGCGAUAAGCAGUGUGAAUUGCAGAAUUCAGUGAAUCAUCGAAUCUUUGAACGCACAUUGCGCCCCUUGGUAUUCCAUGGGGCAUGCCUGUUCGAGCGUCAUUUGUACCUUCAAGCUCUGCUUGGUGUUGGGUGUUUGUCUCGCCUCUGCGUGUAGACUCGCCUCAAAACAAUUGGCAGCCGGCGUAUUGAUUUCGGAGCGCAGUACAUCUCGCGCUUUGCACUCAUAACGACGACGUCCAAAAGUACAUUUUUACACUCUUGACCUCGGAUCAGGUAGGGAUACCCGCUGAACUUAAGCAUAUCAAUAAGCGGAGGA
rnacentral:misc_RNA from 1 species